rnacentral:misc_RNA from 1 species
AACGCAAAUUGCACUCUCUUCGGAGAGUAUGCCUGUUUGAGGGUCAGUAUUAAUAAAAAUCGGCGUGUUGCUCUUUUGUGAUGCUCCGGAGUUUGGGUCAUCUUAUAAUAAUACCUUUCAAGUGUUUUUAAGAGGCUUAAAAUUGACAUCUUUUUUGCGCAUUUUUUGACGUACAUAAAUUUUUUUUAUUCGUUUUAUUCUAAUGCCAAAAUCUAUUAGAUGCGACCAUAUCGUGUGGUUCCGUGUCUAUAAAUUUUUUCAUGAUUUGACCUCAAAUCAGGUAGGAACACCCGCUGAACUUAA